rnacentral:rRNA from 1 species
AUUGAACGCUGGCGGCAUGCCUUACACAUGCAAGUCGAACGGCAGCACGGGAGCAAUCCUGGUGGCGAGUGGCGAACGGGUGAGUAAUAUAUCGGAACGUGCCCAGUCGUGGGGGAUAACGCAGCGAAAGCUGUGCUAAUACCGCAUACGAUCUCUGGAUGAAAGCGGGGGACUCGCAAGGGCCUCGCGCGAUUGGAGCGGCCGAUAUCAGAUUAGCUAGUUGGUGGGGUAAAAGCUCACCAAGGCGACGAUCUGUAGCUGGUCUGAGAGGACGACCAGCCACACUGGAACUGAGACACGGUCCAGACUCCUACGGGAGGCAGCAGUGGGGAAUUUUGGACAAUGGGCGAAAGCCUGAUCCAGCAAUGCCGCGUGCAGGAUGAAGGCCUUAGGGUUGUAAACUGCUUUUGUACGGAACGAAACGGUCUCUCUUAAUACGGGGGGCUAAUGACGGUACCGUAAGAAUAAGCACCGGCUAACUACGUGCCAGCAGCCGCGGUAAUACGUAGGGUGCGAGCGUUAAUCGGAAUUACUGGGCGUAAAGCGUGCGCAGGCGGUUAUAUAAGGCAGAUGUGAAAUCCCCGGGCUCAACCUGGGAACUGCAUUUGUGACUGUAUAGCUAGAGUACGGUAGAGGGGGAUGGAAUUCCGCGUGUAGCAGUGAAAUGCGUAGAUAUGCGGAGGAACACCGAUGGCGAAGGCAAUCCCCUGGACCUGUACUGACGCUCGUGCACGAAAGCGUGGGGAGCAAACA